GAAAAGGUUUAUUGAUGGGGUGGAAAUAGUCUCUCUCAAGAGUGCAUAUUUUACCUCCCCCCUCCCAAUCACCACCAAACAACCCACUUCACACUUUGACUGAAUGAAAAACAAAAUGCAGGGACAAUCAAGAAGCCAGUAAGUUAUUUACUGUCUAUCUCUAUAUGCACAUUCUUUAUUUAUUAACUCAGUUAAUUAUCAUCAACUUCUUUCACCAUGAAUUUCCUAAUGUCAAUACAUUGCAGUCAAUGAAGUAACGCUGUUUCUCUCUCUCUCUCUCUCUCUGUAGCCAGACAAUAGCAUGGCAAACUAUUGGCUAGUGAUACAGCAACACCGGGGGAAAUCACACCGCUAUUACAGAUCACAUCAUGGGCGUCUCCAGGCGCAGGGAGAGGAUUUGAAACAUCUUCUGAAUAAACCAGGAAGGCGCUGCCUUUUCCAAUAAGAACCAAACCUCUCCCACAAGAACAAUCCCUGUUUGCAGGAGUGUGUAAUUUCCACCUCAGCAGGAUAGCUCUCUACCUUCUCUACCUGCUCCUAGACACCCAACUCAAGGCUGGGCUAAAGCAAAGUACAAUGCCCUGGGAAUCACUUGUUUCAAACAAAUAAAACAAGGACAGCAAUGGAACUGAUCCA
rnacentral:lncRNA from 1 species